rnacentral:rRNA from 1 species
GCGCGCGCAGGUGGUUUCUUAAGUCUGAUGUGAAAGCCCACGGCUCAACCGUGGAGGGUCAUUGGAAACUGGGAGACUUGAGUGCAGAAGAGGAAAGUGGAAUUCCAUGUGUAGCGGUGAAAUGCGUAGAGAUAUGGAGGAACACCAGUGGCGAAGGCGACUUUCUGGUCUGUAACUGACACUGAGGCGCGAAAGCGUGGGGAGCAAACAGGAUUAGAUACCC